GCUUUGACGGAUGCGCUAUGAAUCGGAACACUCUAUUACUUAUACUCUCAUAUUUCACAUACUCUAAACAACAUUCUGCUUGAAAUGGUUCGUGUCAUUUAAGUGUGAACUCAAGUACUUUUUACACCAUUAAACAAGUGUAUUUCGCGUGUCGAAGGUUAGAUGUUGGUUUGAAAGGUAUAGUGCCUCACUGUCUGUCAGCAGCUGUAGCAGAGGAUUUAUCGGUUAUUUUUUUCGCAUGUGUUGGAAAUUGAAUUAGACUUCAAGUGUUGACAAGUGAAAAUUGUGACAUCAACCAGACAAAAUGUUCAGUUUUAUGAAACACAAGGAUAAAAAAGAAAAAGAGGAAAAG
rnacentral:sRNA from 1 species